rnacentral:rRNA from 1 species
UCGGAACGUGUCCUGUUGUGGGGGAGUAACUGAUCGAAAGAUCAGCUAAUACCGCAUGAGACCUGAGGGUGAAAGCGGGGGAUCGCAAGACCUCGCGCGACAGGAGCGGCCGAUGUCUGAUUAGCUAGUUGGUGAGAUAAAAGCUUACCAAGGCGACGAUCAGUAGCUGGUCUGAGAGGAUGAUCAGCCACAUUGGGACUGAGACACGGCCCAGACUCCUACGGGAGGCAGCAUG